UACGUAGGGGGCAAGCGUUAUCCGGAUUUACUGGGUGUAAAGGGAGCGCAGGCGGCGCGGCAAGUCUGAUGUGAAAGCCCGGGGCUCAACCCCGGGACUGCAUUGGAAACUGUCAGUCUUGAGUACCGGAGAGGUCAUCGGAAUUCCUUGUGUAGCGGUGAAAUGCGUAGAUAUAAGGAAGAACACCAGUGGCGAAGGCGGAUGACUGGACGGCAACUGACGGUGAGGCGCGAAAGCGUGGGGAGCAAGCAGG
rnacentral:rRNA from 1 species